GGUAUCCUGACCGUGCUAAGGUAGCAUAAUUAAUUAUCAUUUAAUUGGUGAAGAGUAUGAAUGGUAAUACGAGCUUCUCAUUGUCUUAAUUAAAAACUUUUAAAAUUGAAUUAAUAGUGAAGAUGCUAUUUAAAAUCGUAAGACGAAAAGACCCUAUAGAGCUUUACUAUAAAUUUUAAUUUAUGAAAACAAUAAUUUUGUUAAAAUUUUAAAAUUUGGUAGUUUAGUUGGGGCGACUGUUUUUUAUAAUUAACAAAAAUAAGCAAUAAUUAAUAAAUUAAUUUAUUGUAUAACCUAUAAGUUUAACAAUUAUUAUUAUAGGCUAUAAUGACCCAUUAAUUUAAGUAAAUUUAAUUAAUGAUUAAUUAAUAAAAGCUACCUUAGGGAUAACAGGAUAAUUUUGUUUUAGAGUUCUUAUCAAUUACAAAGUUUGGCACCUCGAUGUG
rnacentral:rRNA from 1 species